rnacentral:rRNA from 1 species
AGAGCGAACGCUGGCGGCAGGCUUAACACAUGCAAGUCGAGCGGGCGUAGCAAUACGUCAGCGGCAGACGGGCGAGUAACGCGUGGGAACGUACCUUUUGGUUCGGAACAACACAGGGAAACUUGUGCUAAUACCGGAUAAGCCCUUACGGGGAAAGAUUUAUCGCCAAAAGAUCGGCCCGCGUCUGAUUAGCUAGUUGGUGAGGUAACGGCUCACCAAGGCGACGAUCAGUAGCUGGUCUGAGAGGAUGAUCAGCCACAUUGGGACUGAGACACGGCCCAAACUCCUACGGGAGGCAGCAGUGGGAAUAUUGGACAAUGGGCGCAAGCCUGAUCCAGCCAUGCCGCGUGAGUGAUGACGGCCUUAGGGUUGUAAAGCUCUUUCGCUAGGGACGAUAAUGACGGUACCUAGACAAGAAGCCCCGGCUAACUUCGCGCCAGCAGCCGC